CGGCCGCUGGCCGAGGCACAGCACCGGGGGGCCGCGCCGCAGUACGCGGGGCGGGGAGCACUGGCUUGUCCCGCCAUGAGGGCCCUGGUGUCGCCUCGGCGGCUGCCGGUACAUGUGCUUGGCCCGGGUGACACGGACGGCCGGGAGCGGCGCACAGGUCCUGGGGCGGGACAGCGGUACGGCCGCUGGGGUGGCGGUGCUACUGGGGCACGCCUACCCGAGAUCGCUAGCGAAUUGCAAGGUAGUUUAAAACCGACCAAUCGAGCAGAUACAAGGAUAUUUUGGAUCAAUCGGGCACGAUAAAUGCAACCCCCGGAGAGCUGCCGGAGACCUGUUACUGGGGUAGCAGGAAAACGGAGAAUAACCAGAUUCCCCCCGACCCCGCUCCACGCGCCUGGAGACCUCCACGCCGCUGGCAUGAACCACGGGUGCCUCCCCGACCAGGGGCAUCACUGAGGAUUAAGUAAGCCAUUCGUACCCUGUAAAUACCAUUGGCUGUAUUUGGCUUAGCUUUGCUUUCGUUGUUCCUGUUUCGUUUCGUCAUAUAUGCAUAUGAACUAUAUGCAAUACUUACUUUUUAGAGUAAUUGGCAUGGCUGAGGUUGAAGAACUCAAGAAGCAAAAAUCACCAGUUUCUAUGUUGUGGAAAGGGCCAAAAAAAAUUAUUCUCUGGAGUGGGUCGGUUAUCUGGAGCGGAUCAUCUGCUGCAGGUGAGCCCAGGUGAGUUGCCCGUUGUGGAUUAUCCUGGGGGGACCCCCCUGGUGUCAGUCAUCCCCAUGCAUGUUCCCCAUGGCGUGUCUGCCCAGACAUGCCCCUGUCCGGCAGUGUCCGCCUCCUCCCCCGCCCUCCCUCUGCGUGUGUCUGUGCCCUCCCAGACGCUGUCCCCUGAGAUGGCCCCCCUGCAUGACUUUUUUUCCCCGGUGACAUUCCUCCCCCCCGCUUCCCCUGGCCUCCUGUUCUGUGCUCGCUGAAGCCUCGUGCUUACGCAGGAUGAGCAGUGGCGAGGCGAGGCGCUGCCAAGCCAACGAAGCCCAAGGCUCAGCAGCGCACAACUCCUUUGCAGGUCAGCCGCUGGCAUCUGGUCUGCCUGGCUGCCCUGUGCCCCGACGCACAGCUGCCCCCCUCACCCCGGGCAGCCUGCCUUCAGAGGGGCAGCUGUGUUCCCCUGAUGGAUUUUCUUCUUUA